UACGAAGGGGGCUAGCGUUGCUCGGAAUGACUGGGCGUAAAGGGCGCGUAGGCGGUUCGUACAGUCAGACGUGAAAUUCCCGGGCUCAACCUGGGGGCUGCGUUUGAUACGUGCGGGCUUGAGUUCGGAAGAGGGUCGUGGAAUUCCCAGUGUAGAGGUGAAAUUCGUAGAUAUUGGGAAGAACACCAGCGGCGAAGGCGGCCCCCUGGGCCGCUCCUGACGCUGAGACGCGAAGGCCAGGGUAGCGAACGGG
rnacentral:rRNA from 1 species